CGGGCGGCCGUGACCCUGCUGGAGUGUGGGGGGGACCUCCAGCCCCCCGGGGGGUCCCUGCGCCUCUUCUGCCGAGGGUCCGGGUUCAGUUUUGGGAAUUUUGACAUGUACUGGAUCCGCCAGAGACCCGGGCAGGGGCUGGAGUGGCUCGCAGGCAUCUACAGCAGUGGUUCCAGCACCGCCUAUGCGCCAUCGGUCAAGGGCCGGUUCAGGAUCUCCAGGGACAACGGGCAGAGCUCGGUGACGCUGACCAUGAACAACCUCAAGGACGAGGAUUCCGCCACCUAUUUCUGUGCCAAGAGUGUUCGUGCUGGUGCUGGUGCUAAUACUGCCUAUGCUAUUAGCUCCUCCCCCAUGAAACCCGGGCAGGGGCUGGAAUAUGUCGCAAGGAUCCACAGCAGUGGUGCUUACGCCGACUACGCGCCAUCGAUCCUGAACCGGCCCUUGGCUGACGGUGCGUACUCGGUGUAA